rnacentral:lncRNA from 1 species
GGUGAGGUACAAAGAACGAUGUUCCACGUGAGGUCUGAGGAAGGUGAACCCCAAUGGAGCGGUCUUUGGGCGGUUAGCUGGUCCCCACAUAAAGGGGUGUGCGUCAUUGCUGCUGUUUCUCUUCCCUAUCCCCGCCCCCUACCCUGCCUAGCGUCUAACUGUAGAUUUGCGGGUCUCACUUAGGCGACUCAAAGGGGAGCACACCGGCCGGAGGUUGGGAAUAACUGCUUGGAGAAGAAACUUCUCAACAUGGAAAACUCACACAAUGAAAGUGAAGAACAACCACAGAGCACUCCAAAGGUCGAAGAAGAGCAGCCUGCAGUGGAGCAGUCUCCUGAAAAUCAGUGUUCUGAGGAUGAUCAAUCCUCAGAGGAUCUGUCAUCCGAGGAGCAGUCCUCCGACGAGGAGUUCUUUCCUGAAGAGCUUCUGCCUGAGCUGCUGCCAGAGAUGCUGCUAUGUGAAGAUCGUCCUCCACAGGAGUGCCUCCCACAGAAGAACGCGUUCGAGGACCGUAUUCCCAUGGAGCAACCUCCCUGUGGGAUAGGCAAACACAAGCUAGAGGAAGGAAGUUUCAAAGAAAGGCUGGCUCGUUCCCGCCCUCAGUUUAGAGGAGACAUCCACGGCAGAAAUUUAAGUAAUGAAGAAAUGAUACGGGCAGCGGAUGAGUUGGAAGAGAUGAAGAGAGUACGAAAUAAACUCAUGAUAAUGCAUUGGAAGGCAAAACGGAGCCGUCCUUACCCU